rnacentral:rRNA from 1 species
CAGCCGCCACGGUAAUACGUAGGGUGCAAGCGUUAAUCGGAAUUACUGGGCGUAAAGCGUGCGCAGGCGGUUUGUUAAGACAGAUGUGAAAUCCCCGGGCUCAACCUGGGAACUGCAUUUGUGACUGGCAGGCUAGAGUAUGGCAGAGGGGGGUGGAAUUCCGCGUGUAGCAGUGAAAUGCGUAGAUAUGCGGAGGAACACCGAUGGCGAAGGCAGCCCCCUGGGCCAAUACUGACGCUCAUGCACGAAAGCGUGGGGAGCAAACAGGAUUAGAUACCCCUGUAGUCCCUGUCUCUUAUAC